GAGCCUACUUUACAGUUUACUUUUUAAGGUUGUAGCAAAGAUUUAUGAUUUAUGACACGUAAAACACUUGAAACAGUGCCUCUCAUUGUGAGGCAGGCUUUCUCAAAUGGCACCAAGGAUGUCCUGCCUUAACCUCCAUGCUAGACUCUGUUUAACUACCAGAAGAAACCACUGGACAUGGUCUUCAGGGAUCACAGGAUGACUUGGCUUGUUCCUUGCUCGAGCAACGUACUGUUCAUGCCAACUACAGGGAACUUGGUGUAAUGCAAUACAGAUACUUGGAAUCACUGAGUCACUUUUUUUUUUCCUCAUUGAUCACGGAGUCACUUGAUGAGAAAAAAGAUAAGAAAAAACUCCCAGAAUAGAUUCCACUGAUGCAAAAACCGUUUCAAGCCACAGAUCAAGGCAGUAAUUGUAGAUGCAGAAAAUUAAAAAUUGAGUAAAGAGUGGCAACAAAAUACAGCCUCUCUGGGACCUGGAGUCAAGACACCUGGAAAACAACAAGUUGAUGAAGAAUAAAAAAACAGAUUUCCAGGAAUCAGAAGGGAGCUGAAAGUAAAAUGAGAAAAUACAGAGAAGCUAGAGAAACUGAACAAAACGUAGAGA
rnacentral:lncRNA from 1 species